UUUACUUAAUGAAAUAAAUUUUAUUUUCUUCACUUCAUUGUUAGUUUCAAAUCAUUGAGGUUGUAGUCGAAUCUUUAACUCGUAAUUGAAGUAGAUUUAGGUUCGAACAUAACCUAAGUCCAAUUUAGCCCUUUGGGGCUGGUCAUUGAAGUAGCCAAAGUAGAUUUAGGUUUAAAACAAAAUUGAAGUCUGAUUUAGCCCUUUGGGGAUGGUCGUCGAAGUAGCCAAAGUAGAUUUAGGUUCAAAAUAGAACUGAAGUCUGAUUUAGCCCUUUGAGCC
rnacentral:lncRNA from 1 species